rnacentral:snRNA from 1 species
ACGCUGGCUUCAGCAGCACAUGUACUAAAAUCUGAGUACAAAGAGAAGAUGAGUAUGGUUCUUUGCACAGGGAUGACAUCCAAUCUGUGAAGUGUUCCCUAUUUUU